UUCCAACACAACACUGGAACUGGAACUCUUCCAAGUCAAGUGUGGAGUCAAUUGAGGAGACUAUGUUUCAUGAAGCCAUUAGAAUACUUUUGCUGACAGGGGAGUCUGGCAGUAACCCAGAACUAACAGAGCCAGAGGAUCUCUCUUUUGGCUGCUGCUGACAACAACUGCAUUCAGGCAACAACCCAUACUGUACUGACUGUAGAUAGCCCAGUUGCUAAGGAGUUGGACCUGUGGCAGGAGUUUUACCUGUGGACGAAAGGUGGCCAUUUGGAUAAAACGGGCGAAAUGUAUCUGAUAACUAGAGGGCUGCUGGGUUCACAUCCUCAAAACAUUCCCCUACCAUUGGGCCCUUGAGUAAGGCCCUUAACCCCACAAAAUGCUCUCCAUCCAGGUGCGCUGCACUGCAGCUUGAACCUGUGACCGUCUCAACUGUGUAUGUGAGGCCUGCUGAUUGGGGGGGGUGAGAACUGAGAAGAAGACACAUUUUUGUUGUUCACUGUAAGUAAUGGACAAAGUUGUAUUGUACUGUAUUGUAAAGAAGUCAGCCUGUGAUGCGUGUGAUAGAAGGAGUCAGGUGCAGG